UACGUAGGGUGCAAGCGUUAAUCGGAAUUACUGGGCGUAAAGCGUGCGCAGGCGGUUAUGUAAGACAGGUGUGAAAUCCCCGGGCUUAACCUGGGAAUUGCGCUUGAAACUAGCGGGCUUGAGUGUGGCAGAGGGGGGUGGAAUUCCACGUGUAGCAGUGAAAUGCGUAGAGAUGUGGAGGAACACCGAUGGCGAAGGCAGCCCCCUGGGUCAACACUGACGCUCAUGCACGAAAGCGUGGGGAGCAAACAGG
rnacentral:rRNA from 1 species